CCUACGUCACGUACACAGCCAAUCGCGUGGACGCAAUAACAAGAACAGAAUAAUAUACUACGCAUAUCAUUGGACCUUUGCAGCGUUUGGUGCAGCAACUUAAGAAACCGUCAUUUCUAUAUAUUUCAUGAAAGAUUUACUAUAGCAAUAGGCGUGGAUAUGAACGGCAAAGUUUAUUCAACAUUCGCGAUAUAUUGGUUGCUGACUGGGCUGCUUAUAGAGGGCGUUUGGAGUCAACACUUUCGAUGUUACGACUGCAUGUAUAAAGAGGAUUUAGGAGAGAGGGAGGGAUGCGGCAAACCGUUUACUCUUGACCCAGUAGAAGACGAAGACGCAAUAAAGACAAAGUGUCUCUCGUGUCUGAAGCAAGCUUUCUACAUUGAAGGUGUAGUACAGACGUACAAACGCAUGUGCCUCGAUUAUAUACACGGCAUAGGCUAUGACCAAUGUGAGACGGAACUGGACCCACGAGAGUCUGGGACCGUAAAAUGCUGGUGCCACUCAGAUCUAUGUAACAGCGCGUUCUCUAUGCACCCUAAAAAACUGCUAGUCGCCACUGUGUCACUUAUGGUUCCAUGGUUGUUCCGAUUUGUACGAUCAUAUCUCUAAAUAUUUUGGACGGGUUAACUCAAAACGUAGUCAGGGAACGCAGUUUCGAGCUUAAAUGUACAUUAACUGCACAGUAGAUAGCUUUCAUGUAAUUAGUAAUUCCCAUGCGCAUGUCGUAGCUGCUUCGUUCAAUAGAAAGCUCAUACGAAUGUCUUUCUGAAAUGUAAUACUAUGACAUUUUAUUUAGAUUUCUAACAUUUCAUACAAAUCGGUUUUAAUCAUAUUAAGCAUUUGCUGUACAGUGACUAUUCUUUGUACAACUUUUACAAUCUUGCACAGUAUGCCAACACAAUUUCUAAUGUCAAUUGUGCCCUCUAAUCGUCAGAAAUUAAAAGACUGCAAUCUUCGAACUUUGUGAUAA